GCAUAUCAAUAAGCGGAGGAAAAGAAACUAACAAGGAUUCCCCUAGUAACGGCGAGUGAAGAGGGAAGAGCCCAAGAUUGAAAGCUGGCGUCUUCGRCGUCCGCAUUGUAAUCUCAAGAAGCGUUUUCCGCUUCGGACCAUGCCUAAGUCCCUUGGAAAAGGGCAUCAUAGAGGGUGAUAAUCCCGUACAUGGCAUGGAGCGCCCGAAGCUUUGUGAUACGUUUUCUAAGAGUCGAGUUGUUUGGGAAUGCAGCUCAAAAUGGGUGGUAAAUGCCAUCUAAGGCUAAAUAUUGGGGAGAGACCGAUAGCGAACAAGUACAGUGAUGGAAAGAUGAAAAGAACUUUGAAAAGAGAGUUAAACAGUACGUGAAAUUGCCAAAAGGGAAGGGUAGGAGGUCAGAGAUGCGUCUUGGAAUUYAGCCUUGCUUUUUGCUUGGKGUUUUUUCCAAGUUUGCRGGCCAACGUCGGUUUUGGGCACUGGAGAAGGGUGGAAGGAACGUGGCACCCCUCGGGGUGUGUUAUASCCUUCCACUGGAUACAGCGACCGAGACCGAGGACAGCAGSGUACUCGCAAGAGCGGSCCCUCGGGCACCUUUACGCUUAGGGCGUUGGCAUAAUGGCCCUCUMCCMCCCGUCUUGAAACACGGACCAAGGAGUCUAACAUGUAUGCGAGUCUUUGGGUGGCAAACCCAUAGGCGCAAUGAAAGUGAAUUCAGGUGGGAUCCGCARGGUGCMCCAUCGACCGAUCCUCACKUYUUUUAAGUCGUGGAUUUGAGUAAGAGCAUACCUGUUGGGACCCGAAAGAUGGUGAACUAUGCCUGAAUAGGGUGAAGCCAGAGGAAACUCUGGUGGAGGCUCGUAGCGGUUCUGACGUGCAAAUCGWUCGUCAAAUUUGGGUAUAGGGGCGAAAGACUAAUCGAACCAUCUAGUAGCUGGUUCCUGCG
rnacentral:rRNA from 1 species